UUGAUCCUGGCUCAGAAUCAACGCUGGCGGCGUGCCUAACACAUGCAAGUCGAACGCGAAAGUCCCGCAAGGGAUGAGUAGAGUGGCAAACGGGUGAGUUACACGUGGGUGACCUGCCUUCGAGCGGGGGAUAACGUCCCGAAAGGGACUCUAAUACCGCAUGACAUCCUGCCUUUGAACAGGCGGAGAUCAAAGCUGGUGAUCGCAAGACCUAGCACUCGAUGAGGGGCCCGCGCCUGAUUAGCUAGUUGGUGAGGUAACGGCUCACCAAGGCUACGAUCAGUAUCCGGCCUGAGAGGUCGGACGGACACACUGGGACUGAGACACGGCCCAGACUCCUACGGGAGGCUGCAGUGGGGAAUUGUUCGCAAUGGGCGCAAGCCUGACGACGCAACGCCGUGUGGAGGAUGAAGACCUUCGGGUCGUAAACUCCUUUCGAUCGAGACGAAUGGCCUCCGGGUGAACAAUCCGGAGGAGUGACGGUACCGAGAGAAGAAGCUCCGGCUAACUCCGUGCCAGCAGCCGCGGUAAUAAGGU
rnacentral:rRNA from 1 species